UUCCUUUGCUCACUGAGUUAUUCUCUUUGCAACAAUUUGUCAGUAGACUUUUGUAGAUGGCACUACAUUGUCAGUAUAUCAUAAUACAAAGAGCAUAGUUAAAACAUUAUCUAUGGUUAAAUGUUCAGUCAUGUUUGCAUAUCUAUCAAAUCGUUUUUUACUCUAGGCCAGUGAUGACUUUUGUCUCUAUAUUCUCCUUGUCACUGUCACUGGUCUUCGCUGUCUGAGUCCAAUUCAAUUUCCGGCUCUUUCGUUUCAGCAAUCUCUCUGCAAAUGCACCAGAAGUACAUCCUGGUCCACAGCCACAGUAAUAAUGGCUGUAUCUCACUGCUGCUAACAUUUAGAAAUGCUUAAAAACUCGCUAUUACGUGGCAAAUAACGAAUACAAGUACGACUGAUUUGGAUGAUGCUUAGAAUGUGUUGAGGAGGACAUCUGUUGGAUCAUUUUCAACGAUGCAUUUCUCGACUCUCAAUGGAUCGACACAAAAAACAAUUACAUAUUGAUGUUCAUCAAUCCUAUAAGAUAGCACUGAACAUGUUCAAAUUCGUCUCAUACCUUUGCAACAGUUUGUCAGUUCAGUUUGCUGUG